rnacentral:lncRNA from 1 species
GCAAAGCAAGAAAGAGAGAGAAAGAGAGGAAGAACAAAGGGAAAAACAAGAAAACCUAGGUGGAAAAUUUAAAGAAAAAGUGAAGAAAUCAAGGAAACAAGCAAGGUAAGUUAGAAUUUCUUUAGUUCUCCUUGAUACCUAGCUUACCCAUGCUUUUGUUCUUGAUUUCCAUGGUUGAAUAUUGAGUUAUUAUGAUGAAUUUAAUUCUGAAAAAAUGGGUUAGGAGAGAGAAACUUGUUAGAUUAAUUUAAUUUUAAGUUAUGUUAGUGUUUUAAGUUAGUUUAGCAUAUUUAGAAACAAAACAACAAGAAAAGAACUUAUUUUCUCCCACAAUCAUUAAUGGCCGAAUUUAUUAUGUGUUGAGUGAGGAUAAAUUUGAUUUUCAUUUUAGGAGAAUUGGUUAAGAAAUGAUGAAUUAUGAGCCUAGAAAAAAUAAUGGAAAUUUUCGGAGCAAAAAAUACGAUUUUUACCCACUAGGGGUAUUUUCGUAAUUUACUAUCGAGACUGAUAAAUUGAAUCUCAUUCACAGUCAUUAAGGUAAUUUAGUUAUAAUUGGAGUGUAGAAAGUGAGAAGAAUUGAUUUGGAGUUAAAUUGGAGAUAAUAGGCCGAAUUAGGUCAACACCGCAUUUAAGCGGUAGUCGGAUAAGUUGUAUAUCAUAUCAUGCAUAUAUACCGAGCCUGAAUUGAUUUUAUAAUGGUCAAGCAUUGAUGUGGUGAAUUAUGUAUUGUACAUUGUGGAUAGGUGGUGAGCAAAGUACACUGGUAAAAGUACAGAGAUUGUGCUUGGAGACUGGGAUUAGGAGUACAUCGACUCCUAGAACUGUGAGUGAACUUAUUAUCGUCUUAAUUAUCUAGAGUAGUUUUAUACAAUUGUGUGAUUUUAUGAAAAAUGGGUUUAAAUGGUAAAUUGCUAUGUUUUAAGAGAAAUUGUGAUUUUAUAAAAUGAUUUUAUAAAUUUUCUGAAAAAUCGAAUAUUGGUUUUGAAAAUAGAGUAAUUGGAGACUGCUAGUUUGUGUUGCAAAUUUAUGGUUUUGAAUUGAAUGGCUUAUGACAAUAAAUGAGCAUGAAUGGCUAAACUGAUUUUGGUGUUAGAAUUAUUUAUACUGUGUAUUCAGCCUUGAGAGGCUAGGUUGCGAUAAAUUGCCAUGUCAUGCUAGAAUGAAUUUUAUUGAUUGGUGGAUUAUAUAUUAAUUAUUUACUGCAGAGGGGGUUCCGUGGACCAGCCUAUUAGAGGGGCACGGUAAACUCCAUUAUAUUAUUACCUCGAACGGAGAGGCGCGUAGGGUAUCUCCUGGGGUAAAGCUUAGGGUUCACUUCACGCCAAACCACCACGUGAAGGGGAACUCAGCCAACGCCAAGGAACGAUUGUAUUUUUCUCAAACUAAAAUAUAUUUUAAGUGUAUACAAAAUUUUAACAGCCUUGGCGGACUCGGUUAGAUGCCCUGCGCAAGGUAUCACCGAGUAUGAGUUUUGGCACGAGCUAAAGUUUUAAGAAAUUCAUAAGCUAAGUUGAUUACUCGAUUUUUAUGGAUUGAUUUUAUUUGGUUGAAAUGAGUUGAAGAAAGGUAAUGAAAUUACAGUAUGAUGAAUUAUUUUAAUUGUCCCUAUUUACUCGACUUUAGAUAGUUAGAUGGUAUCUUUUUACUCAUUGGGAUUUUAUAAUCUCACAACUCUCUUUUCCUCACAUUUUAGGCUCGGGGGAUUCCAUAGUUAGCUGACUUUGACAAGUACCUUCAUUUGGACUCGAAUCGAUAAAAGCUGUAGGUUUCUAGCUUUUGAUGCAUUUUGGAUAGAUGUGGCCCACAUGUCACUGUAAAAGAAAUUUUAUGCUUUGUUUAUUUGCUUUAUAGUAUAUAUGAAUAUAAUUAUUUUUUACGCUAUAAGAAUUAUGUACCGAUAGUUUUAUGAAAAUUAUU